UCUUUGAUAGUCUAAUGUUAAGAUAUCCGCCUGCUGAUUGUCGGCCCACGCAAGAGAGCCAAGAAUUAUUCUGUGACAGGGUUCCUUAGGAUUGCAGGCUGAAGAUCCAGUUUCGAUUCCUGGUUGAGGAA